rnacentral:rRNA from 1 species
UGGUGGUGUGAUUUGUCUGCUUAAUUGCGAUAACGAACGAGACCUUAACCUGCUAAAUAGCCCGUAUUGCUUUGGCAGUACGCUGGCUUCUUAGAGGGACUAUCGGCUCAAGCCGAUGGAAGUUUGAGGCAAUAACA